GAAACCAACAGGGAUUGCCUUAGUAACGGCGAGUGAAGCGGCAAUAGCUCAAAUUUGAAAUCUGGCACCUUCGGUGUCCGAGUUGUAAUUUGAAGAAGGUAUCUUUGGUUUUGGCUCUUGUCUAUGUUCCUUGGAACAGGACGUCACAGAGGGUGAGAAUCCCGUGCGAUGAGAUGCCCAAUUCCAUGUAAAGUUCCUUCGACGAGUCGAGUUGUUUGGGAAUGCAGCUCUAAGUGGGUGGUAAAUUCCAUCUAAAGCUAAAUAUUGGCGAGAGACCGAUAGCGAACAAGUACUGUGAAGGAAAGAUGAAAAGAACUUUGAAAAGAGAGUGAAAAAGUACGUGAAAUUGUUGAAAGGGAAGGGCUUGAGAUUAGACUUAGAACUUUCCAAUUUAUUGGAGCUUUCUGGGCCAGCAUCAGUUUGGAUGGUAGGAUAAUUGCGUUGGAAAGUAGCACUUAGUGUAUUAUAGACUUCGUACAUACUACCUAUCUAGACUGAGGACUGCGUCUUUGACUAGGAUGCUGGCAUAAUGAUCUUAAGC
rnacentral:rRNA from 1 species